AGAGUUUGAUCAUGGCUCAGGAUGAACGCUAGCUACAGGCUUAACACAUGCAAGUCGAGGGGCAGCAUGGACCCAGCUUUGCUGGGUUUGAUGGCGACCGGCGCACGGGUGGGUAACGCGUAUCCAACCUGCCCUUUACUCCGGGAUAGUCUCCUGAAAGGGAGUUUAAUACCGGAUGUGUUUGUCUUUCCGCAUGGGAGCGACAAAUAAAGAUUGAUUGGUAAAGGAUGGGGAUGCGUCCCAUUAGCUUGG
rnacentral:rRNA from 1 species